UACAGAGGUCUCAAGCGUUGUUCGGAUUCAUUGGGCGUAAAGGGUGCGUAGGCGGCGCGGUAAGUCGGGUGUGAAAUCUCGGAGCUUAACUCCGAAACUGCAUUCGAUACUGCCAUGACUGGAGUCCGGUAGAGGAGUGUGGAAUUCCCGGUGUAGCGGUGAAAUGCGCAGAUAUCGGGAGGAACACCCGUAGCGAAGGCGGCACUCUGGGCCGGUACUGACGCUGAGGAGCGAAAGCGUGGGGAGCAAACAGG
rnacentral:rRNA from 1 species